CCUACGGGUGGCAGCAGUGGGGAAUAUUGCACAAUGGGGGGAACUCUGAUGCAGCAAUGCCGCGUGGGUGAAGAAGCACUCCGGUGCGUAAAGCCCUGUCAGCAGGGAAGAAAAUGACAGUACCUGACCAAGAAGCCCCGGAUAACUACGUGCCAGCAGCCGCGGUAAUACGUAGGGGGCAAGCGUUAUCCGGAUUUACUGGGUGUAAAGGGAGCACAGGCGGAAUGGCAAGUCAGAUGGGAAAACCCAGGGACCAACCCUGGGAGCGCAUUUGAAACUGCCAUACUGGAGUGCAGGAGAGGUAAGUGGAAUUCCUAGUGUAGCGGUGAAAUGCGUAGAUAUUAGGAGGAACACCAGUGGCGAAGGCGGCUUACUGGCCGGUAACUGACGCUGAGGCUCGAAAGCGUGGGGAGCAAACAGGAUUAGAUACCCCGGUAGUC
rnacentral:rRNA from 1 species